CAAUAGCGUAUAUUAAAGUUGUUGCGGUUAAAAAGCUCGUAGUUGGAUUUCUGCUGAGAACGACCGGUCCGCCCUUUGGGUGUGUAUCUGGCUCUUUCUUGGCAUCUUCUUGGUGAACGUUGCUGCACUUGACUGUGUGGAGCGCUACCCAGGACUUUUACUUUGAGGAAAUUAGAGUGUUUCAAGCAGGCAUACGCCUUGAAUACAUUAGCAUGGAAUAAUAAGAUAGGACCUCGGUUCUAUUUUGUUGGUUUCUAGAGCUGAGGUAAUGAUUAAUAGGGACAGUUGGGGGUAUUCGUAUUCCAUUGUCAGAGGUGAAAUUCUUGGAUUUUUGGAAGACGAACUACUGCGAAAGCAUUUACCAAGGAUGUUUUCAUUAA
rnacentral:rRNA from 1 species